rnacentral:rRNA from 1 species
GGAAAACUCACCAGGUCCAGACAUAGGAAGGAUUGACAGAUUGAGAGCUCUUUCUUGAUUCUAUGGGUGGUGGUGCAUGGCAGUUCUUAGUUGGUGGAGUGAUUUGUCUGGUUAAUUCCGUUAACGAACGAGACUCUGUCCUGCUAAAUAGAGUCUGCUUCUCUUUUGAGCAGACAAUUCUUCUUAGAGGGACAGGCGACUCUUGAGCAAUAA